rnacentral:rRNA from 1 species
UACGAAGGGGGCUAGCGUUGCUCGGAAUCACUGGGCGUAAAGGGUGCGUAGGCGGGUUUCUAAGUCAGGGGUGAAAUCCUGGAGCUCAACUCCAGAACUGCCUUUGAUACUGGAAGUCUUGAGUAUGGGAGAGGUGAGUGGAACUGCGAGUGUAGAGGUGAAAUUCGUAGAUAUUCGCAAGAACACCAGUGGCGAAGGCGGUGCUCUGGGCCGGAACUGACGCUGAGGAGCGAAAGCGUGGGGAGCAAACAGG